GUCUAAAAAACAAGAUCUUCAACAAAAUGAUUCCCGGACUUAGCCUGCAGUGUCACAGUCCUGCCAUUUAAAUCUUCUGACCCCCAGCAAAGCUGUGGAGAAAAACUGACUUCAAGCAAGGUCAUCACAGAAUAUUUGAUUUUUCCCUUACCCGAAAGUCAUCAGAUUAAGGGACAUGUUGCUUCCUACUGCUACAGGAGUCUAAUCAGUGACUGAUUUUUCCAAAUGCAGUGUGUAUUUCACUGAUGCAGCACACCUCGAUUUGGC
rnacentral:lncRNA from 10 species